AGAUUGAACGCUGGCGGCAUGCCUUACACAUGCAAGUCGAACGGCAGCACGGGAGCAAUCCUGGUGGCGAGUGGCGAACGGGUGAGUAAUAUAUCGGAACGUGCCCAGUCGUGGGGGAUAACGUAGAGAAAUUUACGCUAAUACCGCAUACGAUCCAAGGAUGAAAGCGGGGGACCGUAAGGCCUCGCGCGACUGGAGCGGCUGAUAUCAGAUUAGCUUGUUGGUGAGGUAAAAGCUCACCAAGGCGACGAUCUGUAGCUGGUUUGAGAGAACGACCAGCCACACUGGGACUGAGACACGGCCCAGACUCCUACGGGAGGCAGCAGUGGGGAAUAUUGGACAAGUGGGCGCAAGCCUGAUCCAGCCAUACCGCGUGGGUGAAGAAGGCCUUGGUUGUAAAGCCCUUUUGUUAGGAAGAAAGCAAUUCGGUUAAAUACCCGGUGUUCGUAGUACGUAACCCAAAGAAUAAGGCAACCGGCUAACUUCGUCGCCAGUCAGCCCGCGUAAUC
rnacentral:rRNA from 1 species